GUCUAGGAGACUGGAGAGACUGCAUGAAAGGAUCUGGAUGCCAGGAAGGAGGCAAUGGUUCAGGCAGAAGAAGUGGCUGCUAAGACUGCUGGGAAGCUGGAGAAACAAGAGAAGAAACUGCUAUAAAAAG